rnacentral:lncRNA from 1 species
GCCCGUUGGUGGAAGGUGGACGUGUUCAGACGCCCUGUGUGGGGAAGGUGGACUUGGUUCAGACGCCCUGUUGGUGGAAGGUGGACUUGGUUCAGACGCCCUGUUGGUGGAAGGUGGACUUGGUUCAGACGCCUGUUGGUGGAAGGUGGACUGGUUCACGCCCUGUUGGUGGAAGGUGGACUUGGUUCAGACGCCCUGUUGGUGGAAGGUGGACUUGUUCAGACGCCCGUUGGUUGGAAGGUGGACUUGGUUCAGAGACGCCCGUGGGUGGAAGGUGGACUUGGUUCAGACGCCCUGUGGUGGAAGGUGGACUUGGUUCAGACGCCCUGUUGGUGGAGUGGAGGUGGACUGUUCGACCCCGUGGUGGAAGGUGGACUUGGUUCAAGAAGCCCGUUGGUGGAAGGUGACGGGGUUCAGACGCCCUGUUGGUGGAAGGUGGACUUGGUUCAGACGCCCUGUUGGUGGAAGGUGCUCUUGGAUCAAGAAGCCCUGUUGGUGGUAGGUGCCUUGGAUCAAGAAGCCCUGUUUGGUGGUAGGUGGCUCUUGGAUCAAGAAGCCCGUGUUGGUGGGUAGGUGCUCUUGGUUCAAGAAGCCUGUUGGUGGUAGGUGCUCUUGGUUCAAGAAGACCCUGUUGGUGGUAGGUCGCUUGGAUCAGAAGCCUGUUGGUGGUAGGUGCUCUUGGUCAAGAAGCCUGUUGGUGGUAGGUGCUUUGUUCAGAAGCCCGUUGGUGGUAGGUGUCUUGGUUCAAGAAGCCCUGUGGUGGUAGGUGCUCUUGGUUCAAGAAGCCCUGUUGGUGGUAGGUAUUAUUAGCAGUUCGUCUUGUCUAUUUUCUUCCUCCACUGAGACAAUGCUGUGUUCAAGACCACUGGGAACUCGGAAAUGUCUCCCUCCGACUUCAGUGUGUUCAAGACCAUGGGAAACUCGGAAACGUCUUCCUUCCGACUUCAGUGUGCUCAAAACAACUGGGAACUCGGGGGAGGAACAAUCCGACUGGAAAAAAACGUUGAACUGUCAUCCAAUCCCGACGUUCCACCUGUAGAUCACUGACCUCAUGAUUGACCCUCGUGACCUCAUGAUUUUGACCUCGUUUUUUCCCCCCGAGUUCCUAGUUGUCUUGAAGGCUUCAUGACCAUCGGAUGCCGGACAAUGAGUCAUGUUUAAAAUAUUAAAUCUGAGCCUAAAUCUCGGCUUACUUUUUGACUCCAAAAAGGUUUGUAAUGUGCUGCUAUGACAGUGAUCAUGCUGUUGUGUGGUGACUGCUAUGACAGUGCUCCUAUGACCAUGGUCUGCUGUUUGUAUGUGGCUGCUAUGACAGUGAUCAUGCUGUUUGUGGGUGACUGCUAGGACAGUGCCUCCUAUGACCAUGGUCAUGCUGUUUUGUAUGUGGCUGCUAUGACAAUGAUCAUGCUGUUUGUAUGUGGCUGC